rnacentral:rRNA from 1 species
UGCCAGCCGCCGCGGUAAUACGGAGGGUGCAAGCGUUAAUCGGAAUUACUGGGCGUAAAGCGCACGUAGGCGGUUUGUUAAGUCGGAUGUGAAAGCCCCGGGCUCAACCUGGGAACUGCCUUUGAUACUGGCGAACUUGAGUACGGGAGAGGAAAGUGGAAUUCCGAGUGUAGGGGUGAAAUCCGUAGAUAUUCGGAGGAACACCAGUGGCGAAGGCGGCUUUCUGGACCGAUACUGACGCUGAGACGCGAAAGCGUGGGGAGCAAACAGGAUUAGAUA